rnacentral:rRNA from 1 species
CACGUAGGGACCAAGCGUUGUCCGGAUUCAUUGGGCGUAAAGAGCUCGUAGGCGGCUCAGUAAGUCGGGUGUGAAACCUCCAGGCUCAACCUGGAGACGCCACCCGAUACUGCUGUGGCUAGAGUCCAGUAGGGGAGCGUGGAAUUCCCGGUGUGAGCGGUGAAAUGCGCAGAUAUCGGGAGGAACACCAGUGGCGAAGGCGGCACUCUGGGCCGGUACUGACGCUGGAGGAGCGAAAGCGUGGGGGAGCGAACAGG